AUUGAACGCUGGCGGAAUGCUUUACACAUGCAAGUCGAGCGGCAGCACGGGGGCAACCCUGGUUGCGAGCGGCGAACGGGUGAGUAAUACAUCGGAACAUGCCCAUUCGUGGGUGAUAACACUUCGAAAGAAGUGCUAAUACCGCAUACGUCCUGAGGGAGAAAGCGGGGGAUCGCAAGACCUCGCGCGAUUGGGGUGGCCGAUGUCAGAUUAGCUAGUUGGUGGGGUAAAGGCCUACCAAGGCAACGAUCUGUAGCUGGUCUGAGAGGAUGAUCAGCCACACUGGGACUGAGACACGGCCCAGACUCCUACGGGAGGCAGCAGUGGGGAAUUUUGGACAAUGGGGGCAAGCCUGAUCCAGCCAUUCCGCGUGAGUGAAGAAGGCCUUCGGGUUGUAAAGCUCUUUCGGCAGGAACGAAACGGCGAGCUCUAACAUAGCUUGCUAAUGACGGUACCUGAAGAAGAAGCACCGGCUAACUACGUG
rnacentral:rRNA from 1 species